AUGAACGCUGGCGGUAUGCCUAACACAUGCAAGUUGUACGCUGUGCUUUUUUGCGUCAUGCUUUUGCAUAAGCUUUUAUAAGUACGGGGUGGCGCACGGGUGAGGAACGCGUGAGAAUCUAGCAAGCAGACGGGGUCAAUCCCUCCUAUUCUUUUUGAAUCAAGAAGAAAAAAGCUCAAUUAUAAGGUGAUUGAAAAAGCAAUCAAGAUUUAUAAGUAGCGCUGUUUGAUGAGCUUGCGUCGGAUUAGGUUGUUGGUAAGGUAAUGGCUUACCAAGCCCACGAUCCGUAGCCGGCCUUUUCGGGUGAUCGGCCACACUGGGACUGAGAUACGGCCCAGACUCCCACGGGAGGCAGCAGUGAGGAAUCUUGGACAAUGGGCGAAAGCCUGAUCCAGCAAUACCGAGUGGGUGAGACGAAGGCUAAAUAGGUUGUAAAGCCCUUUCAUCGAGACGAGACAAUGACAAGACUCGAAGAAGAAGCCCCGUCUAACUCCGUGCCAGCCGCCGCCGUAAUAC
rnacentral:rRNA from 1 species